UCACUUAAAUAUUCCUAUAGGAUGCUAGUGAGCAAAAGACAGAACUUGAGAGACUAAAGCAUAAAAUAGCAGAAGAAGUUCAUAAAAUUGAAGAAAGAAAAAAUAAAAUUGAUGAUGAGUUAAAAGAAGUACAGCCUUUAGUUAAUGAAGCUAAACUUGCAGUGGGAAACAUUAAGCCAGAAUCUCUUUCAGAAAUUCGCUCACUACGUAUGCCACCUGAUAUAAUCCGAGACAUUCUGGAAGGAGUUUUAAGGUUGAUGGGCAUUUUUGAUACCUCUUGGUUUCCUUGCUAAAAGAGGUAUCAGAGAAGACAUUGCAACCUUUGAUGCACGAAAUAUUCCAAAGGAAAUAAGAGAGAGUGUUGAAGAACUUCUUUUCAAAAAUAAAGGUUCUUUUGAU